rnacentral:rRNA from 1 species
GGGCCCGCACAAGCGGUGGAGCAUGUGGUUUAAUUCGAUGAUACGCGAGGAACCUUACCAGGGCUUAAAUGGGAAAUGACAGGGGCAGAGACGCCCCCUUCUUCGGACAUUUUUCAAGGUGCUGCAUGGUUGUCGUCAGCUCGUGCCGUGAGGUGUCAGGUUAAGUCCAGCAACGAGCGCAACCCCUGUGAACUGUUGCCAGCGCGUAAAGGCGGGGACUCUGUUCAGACUGCCCAGAUCAACUGGGAGGAAGGUGGGGACGACGUCAGGUCAGUAUGGCCCUUACGCCUAGGGCUGCACACGUACUACAAUGCCCAGCACAAUGAGAACCGAGACCGCAAGGUGGAGGAAAUCUGCAAAACUGGGCCCAGUUCGGAUCGGAGUCUGCAACUCGACUCCGUG